UUUCAGAUAGCGUGUUUUGUACUUUAUCAUGACACUUGAAUUUAUGGUUAAACAAAUACUUUUUAAUUACUAGUCAUUAAAAAAAGCUUUUUAAAUUAUUAUUUUAUUUAUAUAAAUAUACUCUAUUUUAGCAACUGUUGAUUUUUGAAAUUCUCUUCACCUUUUGAUUUAUAUAACUAGUUUUGGAGGUUUAUUUUGCUUUAAAAAACAGCAAAUUUGAAGUACUUUAUAAGAAAUCUACAACCACAUUAAAGCUUAUCAACAUAAGAUAUUUAUUCAACAGUAUUUCUUCUAGAAGAAUCAAGAAAAAAAUCUGCAGGCAACUAAAGCAUUUAUAUAUGAUAACUGAUUUAAAUCCACAAUUUUCUGUAACUUUUGCUUCAAAUUACCUCCCUUUGGUGUAGCUCUCUAACAUAGGAGGAAUAAACGGUAGUUUGCUUACAUUGUUUUCAAUAACAAUGUAUAGAAGACUAGCAGAAAAUUACAAUAUUGGAGCAGUCUGAGCCUCAGUUUUGGCGUUUUCAUGAGUCUUAAUUACGAAUGAAAUUCGGCACUUUGAAGCCAAACUCGGAAAGAAGCGGAAACAGAAUUGAAUGAGCUGAUAUAGAAUUAGACAGGAAAAACAUAUUAUGAGAAUACAUUAUUACAGUACAGACCAUUGAUGCUGGAAGUGAGUGGAUAGUGUUACCGGAGACUCAGGGAUCCAGAAAAUAGAUCCAUAAAUUGUACAGUGUAUUCAUGAAAGUGGAUAAAAUAAAUGUUCAAUCCAAGAGUAACAUUCUUUGUUUGUCUGUUAGCAUUUUUUAUUGAUGUAAAUCUAAUAACUAUCAAUUUUUAGCAUGCAGAUUCAUAAUCAUUAGAUAGUAGAAGAAUCUGAAACAUAUCUUUAUAUUCUGCAUUUUGAAGUAUCAUAAUUAAAACAAGGUCAAUAUCAAAUGAUCAAUCAAUUAAUUUCAAAACUGACAAAAUGUU